UGGGGAAUAUUGCACAAUGGGCGAAAGCCUGAUGCAGCGACGCCGCGUGAGGGAUGACGGCCUUCGGUUGUAACCUCUUUCAGCAGGGAAGAAGCGAAAGUGACGGUACCUGCAGAAGAAGCGCCGGCUAACUACGUGCCAGCAGCCGCGGUAAUACGUAGGCGCGAGCGUUGUCCGGAAUUAUUGGGCGUAAAGAGCUCGUAGGCGGUCUGUCGCGUCGGAUGUGAAAGCCCGGGCUUAACCCCGGGUCUGCAUUCGAUACGGGCAGACUAGAGUGUGGUAGGGGAGAUCGGAAUUCCUGGUGUAGCGGUGAAAUGCGCAGAUAUCAGGAGGAACACCGGUGGCGAAGGCGGAUCUCUGGGCCAUUACUGACGCUGAGGAGCGAAAGCGUGGGAGCGAACAGGAUUAGAUACCCUGGUAGUCCACGCCGUAAACGGUGGGAACUAGGUGU
rnacentral:rRNA from 1 species